GCUGUUCGUUGAUGAGGCUCAGAGUGAGCGCUGGGUACAGCGCCCGAAUCGGACAGUGUAGAACCAUUCUCUACUGCCUUCCUUCUGAGAACAGC
rnacentral:snoRNA from 13 species